rnacentral:rRNA from 1 species
GACGAACGCUGGCGGCGUGCUUAACACAUGCAAGUCGAACGGAAAGGCCCUGCUUUUGUGGGGUGCUCGAGUGGCGAACGGGUGAGUAACACGUGAGUAACCUGCCCUUGACUUUGGGAUAACUUCAGGAAACUGGGGCUAAUACCGGAUAGGAGCUCCUGCUGCAUGGUGGGGGUUGGAAAGUUUCGGCGGUUGGGGAUGGACUCGGGGCUUAUCAGCUUGUUGGUGGGGUAGUGGCUUACCAAGGCUUUGACGGGUAGCCGGCCUGAGAGGGUGACCGGCGACAUUGGGACUGAGGUACGGCCCAGACUCCUACGGGAGGCAGCAGUGGGGAAUAUUACACAGUGGGCGGAAGCCUGAUGCGGCGACGCCGCGUGCGGGAUGACGGCCUUCGGGUUGUAAACCGCUGUCGCCUGUGACGAAGCGUGAGUGACGGUAAUGGGUAAAGAAGCACCGGCUAACUACGUG